CCCUUAGAUGUUCUGGGCCGCACGCGCGCUACACUGACGAAUGCAACGAGCUUAUAACCUUGGCCGAAAGGUCUGGGUAAUCUCCAAAUUUCGUCGUGAUGGGGAUAGGUUAUUGCAAUUAUUAAUCUUCAACGAGGAAUGCCUAGUAAGCGCAAGUCAUCAGCUUGCGUUGAUUACGUCCCUGCCCUUUGUACACACCGCCCGUCGCUCCUACCGAUUGAAUGGUCCGGUGAAGCGUUCGGACCGUGGCCUUUGGACGGUUCGCCGUCUGUUGGCUGCGGGAAGUUCGUUAAACCUUAUCAUUUAGAGGAAGGAGAANUCGUAACA
rnacentral:rRNA from 1 species